UACGGAGGGUGCAAGCGUUAUCCGGAUUCACUGGGUUUAAAGGGUGUGUAGGCGGAUAUUUAAGUCCGAGGUGAAAUCUCUGAGCUCAACUCAGAAACUGCCUUGGAUACUAUUUAUCUUGAAUAUCGUUGAGGUAGGCGGAAUAUGUCAUGUAGCGGUGAAAUGACUUAGAUAUGACAUAGAACACCGAUUGCGAAGGCAGCUUGCUAAACGAUUAUUGACGCUGAGGCACGAAAGCGUGGGGAUCAAACAGG
rnacentral:rRNA from 1 species